rnacentral:sRNA from 1 species
UCAUAACAAAAACAUGGUCAGUGGCCAA